AAGACUGUGCGAAGGCCUUGAUUUUCUUGCGCCAUCACCUUGAUGAAGGUUUGAAGAUUGAAUAUCUCACCGUCAAGGAUCCACUCGUCUUGUGGAAAGGCUUUCAUCAGCAAAACACAUAUGUGUAAUUGCCAGUUUUUUACAUCUGGGGUGGAAUUGGUAUGCUGGAUCAUCUUGUAGUGCAGUGCAUGAUCUACUUAAAUACUCC
rnacentral:lncRNA from 1 species